ACAGACUAGUGGAAUCGGCAAGUUGAUAGGACCAAUAUUUUGGGAGAUAUUAGUAAUUUGGAAAACAAUAGCCUUACAGUCAUGCUGCUAUGUCCAUGAUGGUUGACAGGAAGCACGGUACCAUGCUGCAUGAUGGGAAAUGAAAU